GACGAACGCUGGCGGCGUGCUUAACACAUGCAAGUCGAACGGAGUGGCGAACGGGUGAGUAACACGUGGGUUACCUGCCCUGCACUUCGGGAUAAGACUGGGAAACUGGGUCUAAUACUGGAUAGUGUGGGAUGGGGCCUGGGCGUAUAGGCUGCUUGGGGGGGUAAUGGCCUACGAAGGCGGCGACGGGUAGCCGGCCUGAGAGGGUGGACGGCCACAAUGUGACUGAGACACGGCCCAGGCUACUACGGGAGGCAGGAGUGGAGAAUAUUGCACAAUGGGCGGAGGCCUGAUGCAGCGACGCAGCGUGGGGGAUGACGGCCUUCGGGUUGUAAACUCCUUUCACCAUCGACGCGGUAGAUGGAGAAGAAGCACCGGCUAACUACGUGCCAGUAGCCGCGGUAAUAC
rnacentral:rRNA from 1 species